rnacentral:rRNA from 1 species
AGUGAACGCUGGCGGUAGGCCUAACACAUGCAAGUCGAACGGCAGCACAGUAAGAGCUUGCUCUUACGGGUGGCGAGUGGCGGACGGGUGAGGAAUACAUCGGAAUCUACUUUUUCGUGGGGGAUAACGUAGGGAAACUUACGCUAAUACCGCAUACGACCUACGGGUGAAAGCAGGGGAUCUUCGGACCUUGCGCGAUUGAAUGAGCCGAUGUCGGAUUAGCUAGUUGGCGGGGUAAAGGCCCACCAAGGCGACGAUCCGUAGCUGGUCUGAGAGGAUGAUAAGCCAAACUGGAACUGAGACACGGUCCAGACUCCUACGGGAGGCAGCAGUGGGGAAUAUUGGACAAUGGGCGCAAGCCUGAUCCAGCCAUACCGCGUGGGUGAAGAAGGCCUUCGGGUUGUAAAGCCCUUUUGUUGGGAAAGAAAAGCAGCAGGUUAAUACCCCGCUGUUCUGACGGUACCCAAAGAAUAAGCACCGGCUAACUUCGU